rfam:Azotobacter vinelandii DJ, complete genome.
GGCGCAUCGGUUGCCUCGAGUCCAGCAACAUCGGCGGUCCCAACGGCGGGGCCCCAUUCAUCGACAAUGGCGUCGU